AACGAACGCUGGCGGCAGGCUUAACACAUGCAAGUCGAGCGCUGUAGCAAUACAGAGCGGCAGACGGGUGAGUAACGCGUGGGAAUCUACCCAGUUCUUCGGAAUAACUGAGGGAAACUUCAGCUAAUACCGGAUACGCCCCAAGGGGGAAAGAUUUAUCGGAAUUGGAUGAGCCCGCGUCAGAUUAGCUAGUUGGUGGGGUAAUGGCCUACCAAGGCGACGAUCUGUAGCUGGUCUGAGAGGAUGAUCAGCCACACUGGGACUGAGACACGGCCCAGACUCCUACGGGAGGCAGCAGUGGGGAAUAUUGGACAAUGGGCGCAAGCCUGAUCCAGCCAUGCCGCGUGAGUGAUGAAGGCCUUAGGGUUGUAAAGCUCUUUCAGUGGGGAAGAUAAUGACGGUACCCACAGAAGAAGCCCCGGCUAACUUCGUGCCAGCCGCCGCCGUAAAAC
rnacentral:rRNA from 1 species